GCGAUCUCGCUCUGGUGAGCGUUGAUGGUGAACGGAGCCGCUGACGUUCCAGGUUUGGUGUUGGACAGAUCCUGGAGGAGGGGAGGGGACGGGUGGGACAUCGUUCCCGACAGGAAGUGCGGCUCAGCCAGCCGCACUUCCUUGACAUCAGUCAAGCCAAGUUUGAAUAAUUUCUGCUGAUAUCAAACAAGCUUUUUCCAAGGCAUUAACAUGCAUCGAUUUACACAGAAAUAAUGGGAAUGAUUACAGUGCUGUGAAAAACUAUUGGUCCGUUCUCAAAUUCUUAUAUUUUUGCAUAGAUUCCCCACUUUAAUGUUUAAGCUCAUCAAGCAAAUGUAAAUAUCAGACAAAUAUAACCAAAGUGAACUUAAAAUGCUGUUUUUAAGUGGUGAUUUCAUUCAUUAAGGAAAAAAACUUCGAAUUAUUGG